rnacentral:lncRNA from 1 species
UUUCGUAGAUGGGAGUAGUAGAAUUUUUUUUAGGAAUGGGUUUGAGAGUUCAAAAAAAACAACUGUCUCCUCUCUUUUCUCAUUGAGAGAUAUUUAUGGGACUAGUCGUAUCUGUCCUGGAGAACGUGCGUAUGGUGCGUGCGUAUGGGAGAGGUGGGAAGUUACGGUAUAGGAUCAUGGGAUCAUGGGUAUGAAAUUGUACAUUAGUCCUUCCCAUUUGUUUAUAUUAUACCUUAGUUAAAAUAACAGAUUAUUAUAUGUUUGAAGGAGCAUCUUGCAAAGAUAUGAAAGGGAAAGGACUAAUUUGCUAUUUGUAA